rnacentral:rRNA from 1 species
CCUACGGGAGGCAGCAGUGAGGAAUAUUGGUCAAUGGACGAGAGUCUGAACCAGCCAAGUAGCGUGAAGGAUGACUGCCCUAUGGGUUGUAAACUUCUUUUAUAAAGGAAUAAAGCGAGGCACGUGUGCCUUUUUGCAUGUACCUUAUGAAUAAGGAUCGGCUAACUCCGUGCCAGCAGCCGCGGUAAUACGGAGGAUCCGAGCGUUAUCCGGAUUUAUUGGGUUUAAAGGGUGCGUAGAUGGGUUGUUAAGUCAGUUGUGAAAGUUUGCGGCUCAACCGUAAAAUUGCAAUUGAUACUGGCAGUCUUGAGUACAGUUGAGGUAGGCGGAAUGCGUGGUGUAGCGGUGAAAUGCUUAGAUAUCACGAAGAACCCCGAUUGCGAAGGCAACUUACUGAACUGUGACUGACAUUGAUGCUCGAAAGUGUGGGUAUCGAACAGGAUUAGAUACCCGUGUAGUC